rnacentral:rRNA from 1 species
CGAAGGACCCGAGCGUUAUCCGGAUUUAUUGGGUUUAAAGGGUGCGUAGGCGUCCUGGAAAGUUACGGUUGAAAUCUCCUUGCUCAACAAGGAAACUGGCCGUAAAACUAUCAGGAUUGAGUACAUUGAAGCGGGCGGAAUGUGUCAUGUAGCGGUGAAAUGCUUAGAUAUGACACAGAACACCAAUUGCGAAGGCAGCUCGCUAAACUGUAACUGACGCUGAGGCACGAAAGCGUGGGGAUCAAACAGGAUUAGAUACCCUGGUAGUCCACGCCCUAAACGAUGAUUACUCGAUGUGUGCGAUACACUGUACGCGUCUGAGCGAAAGCAUUAAGUAAUCCGCCUGGGGAGUACGAUCGCAAGAUUG